rnacentral:rRNA from 1 species
UGAGGAAUAUUGGUCAAUGGACGAGAGUCUGAACCAGCCAAGUAGCGUGAAGGAUGAAGGUUCUAUGGAUUGUAAACUUCUUUUAUACGGGAAUAAACGGAUCCACGUGUGGAUCUUUGCAUGUACCGUAUGAAUAAGGAUCGGCUAACUCCGUGCCAGCAGCCGCGGUAAUACGGAGGAUCCGAGCGUUAUCCGGAUUUAUUGGGUUUAAAGGGAGCGUAGAUGGGUUGUUAAGUCAGUUGUGAAAGUUUGCGGCUCAACCGUAAAAUUGCAGUUGAUACUGGUUCCCUUGAGUGCAGUUGAGGCAGGCGGAAUUCGUGGUGUAGCGGUGAAAUGCAUAGAUAUCACGAAGAACCCCGAUUGCGAAGGCAGCCUGCUAAGCUGUAACUGACGUUGAGGCUCGAAAGUGUGGGUAUCAAACAGGAUUAGAUACCCUGGUAGUCCACACGGUAAACGAUGGAUACUCGCUGUUGGCGAUAUACUGUCAGCGGCCAAGCGAAAGCAUUAAGUAUCCCACCUGGGGAGUACGCCGGCAACGGUGAAACUCAAAGGAAUUGACGGGGGCCCGCACAAGCGGAGGAACAUGUGGUUUAAUUCGAUGAUACGCGAGGAACCUUACCCGGGCUUAAAUUGCAGACGAAUUACCUGGAAACAGGUAAGCCGCAAGGCGUCUGUGAAGGUGCUGCAUGGUUGUCGUCAGCUCGUGCCGUGAGGUGUCGGCUUAAGUGCCAUAACGAGCGCAACCCUCGUGGCCAGUUACUAGCAGGUAACGCUGAGGACUCUGGCCAGACUGCCAUCGUAAGAUGCGAGGAAGGUGGGGAUGACGUCAAAUCAGCACGGCCCUUACGUCCGGGGCUACACACGUGUUACAAUGGGAGGUACAGAAGGCAGCUACCCGGCGACGGGAUGCCAAUCUCCAAAGCCUCUCUCAGUUCGGACUGGAGUCUGCAACCCGACUCCACGAAGCUGGAUUCGCUAGUAAUCGCGCAUCAGCCACGGCGCGGUGAAUACGUUCCC